rnacentral:misc_RNA from 1 species
CAGUGAGCUGGCUCCUGGUAAAGAGUACUCUGGUUUUAACCCUGGGGUUAAAGGGACAAGGCCAGAGAAUUUUAAUGAACAUCUUUUGGGAUCUAGCCAGCGGGAAAUAUUGGAUCAUCAUCGUCCUAUAGGGCUACAUACUUUUCCUGGACCAUUGGGACCUAGUAGUGUGCAUAGACCAAACCUAUCAUUGCGUCCUUUUGGUCCUCAAGGUGGUUUUGACCCUGUGCUUUCUAGUGCAGAAUAUAAUGAUUUGGCUUCUCUGCGUAAUUUCCGAGAUGGGAAUUCUAACAUUCCAAUGGG